GAGCAUCAGUAAAAUAGAGGUUCGAUCAUGGCUCAGAUUGAACGCUGAAAAAGAUGCUUACACAUGCAAGUCGAACGGCAGCACGGACUUCGGUCUGGUGGCGAGUGGCGAACGGGUGAGUAAUGUAUCGGAACGUGCCUAGUAGCGGGGAUAACUACGCGAAAGCGUAGCUAAUACCGCAUACGCCCUUCGGGGAAAGCGGGGGUCUCGGGGCCCCCGCACUAUUAGGAGCGGCCGAUAUCGGAUUAGCUAGUUGGUGGGGUGUAGUCACUCAAGGCGACGAUCCGUAGCUGGUUUGAGAGGACGACCAGCUGUACACUGGGACCGAGACACGGCCCAGACUCCUACGGGAGGUAAGGCAGUGGGGAAUUUUUGACAAUGGGGAAACCCCGAUCCAGCCAUCCCGCGUGUGCGAUGAAGGCCUUCGGGUUGUAAAGCACUUUUGGCAGGAAAGAAACGGCACGGGAUAAUACCCUGUGCAACUGACGGUACUUGCAGAAUAAGCACCGUGGCUAACUAUUGCGCCAGCAGCCGCGAUAUCACUAGUGCAAGCAUUAAUCGGAAUUACUGGGCGUAAAAGCGCGCAGGCGGUUCGGAAAGAAAGACGUGAAAUCCCAGAGCUUAACUUUUGGAACUGCAUUUUUAACUACCGAGCUAGAGUGUGUCAGAGCGGAGGUGGAAUUCCGCGUGUAGCAGUGAAAUGCGUAGAUAUGGAGGAACACCGAUGGCGAAGGCAGCCUCCUGAUAACAUCGACGCUCAUGCACGAAAGCGUGGGGAGCAAACAGGAUUAGAUACCCUGGUAGUCCACGCCCUAAAACGAUGUCAACUAGCUGUUGGGGCCUUCGGGCCUUUGGUAGCGCAGCUAACGCGUGAAGUUGACCGCCUGGGGAGUACGGUCGCAAGAUUAAAACCCAAAGGGAAUUGACGGGGACUCGCACAAGCGGUGGAUGAUGAUUAAUUCGAUGCAACGCGAAAACCUUACCUACCCUUGACAUGUCUGGAAUCCCGAAGAGAAUGGGAGUGCUCGCAAGAGAACCGGAACACAGGUGCUGCAUGGCUGUCGUCAGCUCGUGUCGAGAUGCUGGGUUAAGUCCCGCAACGAGCGCAACCCUUGUCAUUGGUUGCUACGAAAGGGCACUGACGAGAUCUGCCGGUGACAAACCGAGGAAGGUGGGGAUGAUCAAGUCCUCGCUUUUGGCCCUUAUGGGUAGGGCUUCACACGUCAUACAAUGGUCGGGACAGAGGGUCGCCAACCCGCGAGGGGGAGCCAAUCUCAGAAACCCGAUCAGGCCGAUCGCGAACUGCAAAACUGACUGCGUGAGUCUGAAUGCUAGUAACGCAGAUCAGGUACACGCAAAAAGAAUCACGUUCUGGUCUUGUACAACGCCCACCGUCACCGCACCAAGGAGUAUUAACCAAGAAGUAAGUUGGGCCCGUACCGUGUGGAGGGCGAUUGACACGGUGAUUCAUGACCGGGGUGAAGUCAACAAGGUAG
rnacentral:rRNA from 1 species